GUGUGUGUGUGUGUGUGUGUGUGUGUUGUAGAGGAAAGUCUUAAGUAUAUAACGGUCUAGGUUUUAUAUAUUUGAAUGCUUAAGAAAAAAAAAUCACAGUGAAAGGGAGAAAAGUAGGUUAGGUGAAAGUACAUACAGUUAUGAAAGAAUUAAGGGAACUCGGCAAGGACUGUUACAUGGGUGCUGCUUGCCGAGUGAUGGUGUGAAGAAAUAAUAGAUAAACAGAUAAGAGGAUAAUAAUAAUAGAAAAGAAGAGGAAGAAGAGAAAAAAGAAGAAGAAGGAGAAGAAGAAGAGGGAGAUGAUGAAGACUAGGAAAAUAAAUGAUAAUAAUAGUAAUGUGUUUUGAGUGCCUAAUUAUGCCUAUAGCUAAUGAAAAAAGAAACUGUAAUAUGCAAGGAGUCUAGAGGAAAAGGCACCAUAAAAAUAAAAAAUAAAAAAACAAAUAAAGUCAGAAUUCCCCCUCAAAAAGACAUACAUACCAAACAUAAUCAUUAAAGUCAUAUUUGUGAUUUUAUUUUACUUCUCUAUUUAUUUUAUUAUUUAUCUAUUUAUUUCAUUAUUUAUCUAUGUAUUUUUUUUUUCGAGGGGGGAGGUAAGGACAAGAUUAUGGGUGGACACUUAUAAAUACAUUAGCUUUCUUUGGGGUUGAAUUUCUUCCUUAUUUGACAGCAUCACAACCUUUUGAGGAAGCGACCUUUAAACGAGACAAACUUCAACUCCGGUAAGUAAAAAAACACACCCACAAAUUCCCUUUCACCCCAACCGGAGACUCAAACAAGCGCGGUAAAAUUUAGCAAUAUAUUGGCUGGUUGUUGGCAUCAAUACAUUUUUAAUACAGUCAUGACAGUAAUGAUAGUAACAAAAAAUAAUGGUUUCGGAACACUAUCGCUAAAGACAUCAGAUGAAACAAUGCACGAGCUAUCCUACAAAGGGGAAUACGUACAUAGCCUUGAUAGAAUUUGCACUCACACGACAGUUACAGUGGUUGCCUGCAUUGUUAGGUACGAACGAGCUAGUAUUUUUUGUCUCGGUAUCACAAAUAUGUUGAGUAAAUAUAUAUUUGUAAGGUCAUCUAAGUAAGGAGGGUGAGGAAUGACAGAGGACUUCACCUUUCAUUCUUACUCCUUCCCGAGGCCUUAAAUGUACAUCUAUAAGGUCAUCUAAUAAGGAGGGUGAGAAAUGAGGGUUCAGCAUCCCACUAAUAAGUAAGACUCGACAGCUGACUUCAUCUUCCACUCUUACUCCUUCCUGGACCUUAAACAUAUUUCUAUAAGGUCAUCUAAGUAAGGAGAGUGAGGAAUAAGGGUUCAACGUCCCACCAAUAGAGUUGACAUAACUUCACCUCCCAUUCUUUUACUCCUUCCCGUGACCUACACUUUCUUUAGCCUAAUAUUUCAUAACUAGAAUAUAAUUGGAUCACCUUCAGAAUUGAAAGCUCUAUUUGACUCAUUUUUGUAUUCUUUCUUAGGGUCAGCAACAAUGGUAUUUUUCAGUGUUGUUUAUCAUUCUAUUUUACUUUUUAUAAAUCUCAAAACCAAGCAGUCAAUCGUCAAAUCUAUAGCAUGAAACUUAAGUACCAUUUUUGAAGAUCCUGGGAAAGCUUGUGUCAAUGUAACUCUAUAUAUAGGUAAUUUUAGAAUUAAUAACUAUCUUGAGAAUUUUAGAAAUGAAUAAAAAAAAAGGGUACCCAGUAUAAACCACACAAUAAAUGAACUGUAUUUCCUGACAGACGAUGCUCGCUUUAUGCUCUUGAACACUGGCUGGAGAGGUCUUGGCAGCUCAAAACAGUAAGGUCAUCACAGACAAUCAAUAUAAAACCAGUAAUCUCCUUGGAUGAAUAUGACUUUUAUAUCUUUAUCACACUAACAAUUUCUUUAAAAGUGUCCAGAUAAUUGUUAUAUAAAAUGGAAGUCAGGAAAGGCUGCAUAGGUCUGUUUUUUUGUUGUUGUUUUUUGUUAUUCUUGGCCACACUUUUUUGUAAUCAUGCUUUUUUUCAAGUUUUCUCCAUCAAAUUAGAAUGCUUCAGCCGAGCUCAUGCACACCAUCUGCCAGGAACCCCCCAUACUCCAGACUAACUAGGAAAUGCACCUACGAACACUAGACACAAAAAUACCAAUUAAGCU